rnacentral:rRNA from 1 species
CACGUAGGGCGCGAGCGUUGUCCGGAAUUAUUGGGCGUAAAGAGCGUGUAGGCGGCCAGGUAGGUCUGCUGUGAAAACUCGAGGCUCAACCUCGAGACGUCGGUGGAAACCGCAUGGCUAGAGUCCGGAAGAGGAGAGUGGAAUUCCCGGUGUAGCGGUGAAAUGCGCAGAUAUCGGGAAGAACACCCGUGGCGAAGGCGGCACUCUGGGACGGUACUGACGCUGAGCGGCGAAAGCGUGGGGAGCAACAGGG